CAAAAAGCAAGAGGAAUUUAUUGUUCCUACAUGUUGGAGUCGUCCUGCACAUGGAGGGAGGGAGGGAGGGAGAGAAAACAACCACAUGUAGCCCAUCCUAUGAGCCUUUAUAUAGUUCCCCAGGCAGCAGCCAUUAGGCACAAUGUGAUUGGCAGAACAGUGUGACUUCUAAACUGAUUGAUAUAUAGGGAAUUGAUAUAUAGGGAAUGAUGUGUCAGAAUGUGUCUAUGAGCUCCAGGGGUCAGUCCCUCCUCCCUGUGGUCUGAGGAAUGUCAUUAGCCCCUCCCUUCCACAGGGGAGGGGUGCCUGAGUUCUUUAUGACCAUUUGCUUCCAGGAGGGGAGGGGUCUGGUAGGAUUUCUAAAGUUCCUGAGCUGACCUUUUCAGAGGUAAAUCCUGAAGUCCCUUAGUAUAUGGAAACCCCAACCUUAGAGAGACACAUCCUCAAUUUCUCCGAGCCUCCUGCUGGCCUGUUGGCACUCAGAAUGAAAUUAAGGGGGUCCUAGAACAGCAGUGGCAGAUUCCCGACAGAUCCAAAAGAACCAUCCGAAGUCUGUGACCUGGGUCUGAGCUCUAGGAAGCCAGACAAGCAGGAUAGACUUUCCCUUCCCAGAGUCUCAGCUGCUGAGCCCUACCACAGGAAGACCAGCUCAAGCCUCACCUUGAAAGACUCCGAGAGGAGCCCCUCGCUCAGGCCUCAGGACAAUAGCGGCCACCCAAGAACUCACAAUAGAUCGAGCUUGUUGCAAACCACAUGAGGCUUUAUUUGGGGAAAGCCAGAGCUCUGGGGACGACUCAUAUCCCACACAGGGGUAGAGGAGUCGACCUCGAGGGGAAAGAGGUCCCAGUUUUUAUAGGCCCUCAGGGGGGAAAGGAGAAGGGGGAGAGUAGGGGAUUUCCAGAUCUAAACAAUGUCUAUUCUCAAGAAAUGGGUAUGGGAGGGGUACAAGGAAAGAGUCUGGUGCAAGUGUAGCAACUCAGGAUUGGCCCGGCUGUGGUUGCUGGGGAGAUUUUCUGACUCUUUCUCAGCAACCAAUAUCACAAACACCUGGCAAUGGGCUUCAUCAGUGGGCACACACAUGGGUCAAGGAACGGUCAAAACAUUGGCAGACACACAGGUUCAAGGAGUGGUCAGAGCAUUGUGCACCUCUAUUUUUCUAAAUCAGUGAAGCUAGUUCUGCUAACACUGACAUCUAUCUUGCCAAUUUCAGGGCUUCUGUGUUUUUUUACAUUCUGUCAGUAUCUUUCAACCUCAUUCAGCAAGUUCCUCUCUCCCACCCCACACCAUCUUCCUCCCUCCCUCCUGGGACUCACCAUGCCUUUCCAGAACCAUUUGUUUCUUCCUGUUAUACACUGAGAGUAAAGGACAGCUUCCUUCUGCUUCUCUCUGGUCUCUCUAGGCCCUCCAAUCUCUAUCCCAACUAGAGUCCUCAGUCUUGCCAACAUGUUUAUGGGUAAAACCUGUAAGCACUGACUGAAGGCUUAAGGCAGGUGCUGUUGCCACAACACAGAUGACAUCACAGAGAAGUCCAAGGCAUCUCCAGGAUACAAUAGAAUGUCCAGAGGGUGGAUUGCUAGGGUCGCCUCCACCAACCACACCUAUCUACCUAACUAAACCACCAGAAGCCAAGAUGCCUUUUCCAGGACACUUCCCUGAGACCCACUCCAAAGUCAGAGACCCCUCCCUUCACUAAGCUACUUGUACUGCUUCGAAGACAACUCACUUGCCAAGCACAGUCCAGGAAUGACUCCUCUUCAUGUCCUUUAUUCAAAAACAUGGGAAAUGAAAAUCGGUAGGAAACACCCAGUUCACCUGUUUAAACUUACUGGUAGCCCUGAAAUAAAGAGCUGGAGCACAUUAAGCUGGAUUGACAAUCAUCCAGAAAUCUGGACCGUGGCUGCUUCCAUCUACUCGUGUACCCCAGAACAAGCAUAUACUGAAGACCUGAUGAGACAUCCAGCCACUUCGGGAACUGCACUACAAUAGAUUCUUGGAUCUUCCUUGAUAGAGCCUGCUUCUUCAGGAUUCCAGCAUAUACUGAAGACCAGCUGAGACAUCCAGCCUUGUGGACUCUCCUAUUGGACUCUCCAUUCAUGGACAGCCAUUGUUGGAUUACCUGCACCACAGCCUGUAAGUCUUUCUAAUAAAUGCCUUU